CUUCACUCCACAAGUGUGCAAGUGUGCUUUGCAGUUGUCUUUGGAGAGACAGCAACUUGAAGAAUGGUCCGCAAACUGGUUCUGGUAAUUGCGCUCUUUCUCCUGGUGGGGGAACUUGCUGGGGAACUGUCAGAUGAAGAUGGCGUCAUCCUGUCUGAACGUAACAACAUCCCAGCAGAGGAGCUGGGACCUGGUGAAGCAAUCGAGCGCAACAAGCGCGCACCUUGGACCGACUUUUUAAGAAACCGUUUAAGAAAUUGAAGAGACGGUUCAAGAGCAGACCGAGUGGUGGAGAUGAGGGGUGGUGGAGAUGACAGCUGUGAACAGGAAGAGUAUAGCACCCCUCAUGUCACGGCAUGCGUUGCUCAAUGGUGUUUUUUGCCCCCAACAGCGCCUUCCAGGCAGCACAGCCUAAAAGGCACUACCUUUACCCUAUUCCUAACCUUCACCCCCUCAACCCUCAUCCUACCCCUAAACUGAGGGGAGUAGUGCCUUGAGGCCAGCGCUGCCUGUAAGGCACCAUUGAGGGCAAAUAAUACCAAAGACCGCAUGCGUUCCCUCCCUCACGCUCAAGCUGACUGAGAGGCUGCAAGGCUCCUCACCUCAACAAGGAGUGAGAGUCAGUCAUAUGAGCGCAAUGCCACUUGGUCUCUCCUUUUUUGUGACGAAAUAAAUAUCUUCUACAGCAUUUA